UGCAUUGCAUGAGCCAUUACUACAUAAUCUGCACGUCCAGUUUGCAUAUGCUGAUGCUUAGCUACCAAAUCCAAGUGGAAUUGGGUCCUCCAUGCGCCUGUACAAGCCCAUGCAUGGAGGCCCUUUCCAUUCAUGCAAUGAGUUGUUCAUGCAUAUCAACUUGCUUUGGCUAUAAAUACAUUGCUCACGCCUCUCAUUUCAGCAACCUAAAGGCGCCCAAAAUGCUGCACAAUUGAAUCCUCACCCUCACUCCAAAGGAAC
rnacentral:lncRNA from 1 species